UACGUUCAGGCAUCAGCCCGGAAGUAGGAGUUAUCCGAAGGAACGCACC
rnacentral:ncRNA from 10 species